rnacentral:rRNA from 1 species
CCUACGUGUGGCAGCAGUGGGGAAUAUUGGACAAUGGGCGAAAGCCUGAUCCAGCCAUGCCGCGUGUGUGAAGAAGGCCUUCGGGUUGUAAAGCACUUUCAGUGGGGAAGAAAGCCUUGGGGCUAAUACCCUCGAGGAAGGACAUCACCCACAGAAGAAGCACCGGCUAACUCCGUGCCAGCAGCCGCGGUAAUACGGAGGGUGCGAGCGUUAAUCGGAAUUACUGGGCGUAAAGCGCGCGUAGGCGGUCUGAUAAGCCGGUUGUGAAAGCCCCGGGCUCAACCUGGGAACGGCAUCCGGAACUGUCAGGCUAGAGUGCAGGAGAGGAAGGUAGAAUUCCCGGUGUAGCGGUGAAAUGCGUAGAGAUCGGGCGGAAUACCAGUGGCGAAGGCGGCCUUCUGGACUGACACUGACGCUGAGGUGCGAAAGCGUGGGUAGCAAACAGGAUUAGAUACCCUUGUAGUC